ACUAAACCAAGACUAAACCGGGACUAAACCAGGUCAAAACCAGGACUGAACCAGGACUAAACCAGAACUAAACCAGGUCUAAAUCAGGUCUAAACCAGGACUAAACCAGGAUUUAAGCAGGACUAAAAACAGUAUUAUAAACCAGGAUAAAACUAGAAUUAGACCUGGUCAAAACCAGGACUAAACCAGAACUGAACCAGGACUAAACCAGGACUGAACCAGGUCUAAAAACAGGACUACAAACCAGGAUUAAACCAGAAUUAAAUUAAACUGUGUCUAAACCAGGUCCGGAAAAGUUUAAUGCCACAGUGUGAAACAUUCCAGACAAAGAAAGGAGAAAAGCGUUUCCAAGUUAAACUCUAAUAAACUUUGACUUUUUACUUUCACUUUUGUGUUUUUGUUUAGCUCCGCCCCUCACCCCACCAAUGACGUUUCAGUUCAGUCACAAGAUUAAAGCCCCACAUGAGGAAAACCCCUCACUUCAUCUAAGACCCUCACUGACUACUACAACUUUUACUAAUACUACUACAACUACUACAAGUACUACUACUGCGAGCUCGUACUACCUAAGUUGUUUUCAGGAGCGAUGUUUGACUCUGGAGUCGGUCACUUCCGCUUCUUCCAGUUCCUCCUCUUCUUCUGGGAUCGACACUGCGACGGCUCCAGUUAACGGACGACGACCAACGAAAGAUCGUCUCCUGUAGCUGCUGCCCCCGCUGAGCUUCAUUUGCCUGGACGUGGGCGCAGUGGUUUCAGUUGAGUCGUUGUGUUUCUUGUGUUUCAGGGCAGAGAUGUUGUUUUUGGUGCUGGUUCUGUUCGGGUUCUGCUCGAGCGUCUGCGGUG